AGUGAACGCUGGCGGUAGGCCUAACACAUGCAAGUCGAACGGCAGCACAGUAAGAGCUUGCUCUUACGGGUGGCGAGUGGCGGACGGGUGAGGAAUACAUCGGAAUCUACUUUUUCGUGGGGGAUAACGUAGGGAAACUUACGCUAAUACCGCAUACGACCUACGGGUUAAAUCAGUGGUUCUUCGGACCUUGCGCGAUUGAAUGAGCCGAUGUCGGAUUAGCUAGUUGGCGGGGUAAAGGCCCACCAAGGCGACGAUCCGUAGCUGGUCUGAGAGGAUGAUCAGCCACACUGGAACUGAGACACGGUCCAGACUCCUACGGGAGGCAGCAGUGGGGAAUAUUGGACAAUGGGCGCAAGCCUGAUCCAGCCAUACCGCGUGGGUGAAGAAGGCCUUCGGGUUGUAAAGCCCUUUUGUUGGGAAAGAAAAGCAGCAGGUUAAUACCCCGCUGUUCUGACGGUACCCAAAGAAUAAGCACCGGCUAACUUCGUG
rnacentral:rRNA from 1 species